AAAGACUUUUAUAACUCAGUCUUUAGAGUUGCUAUCUGAAUCAAAAUGGAGAACCACAAAUGAAUUUGCAAAUGACUUUGUACAAGCUAGUCUCUUUAAUAAAAGGGGGAGGGGAGGAAGAAGGAGUAAAUGCCAGAAUUAUUUCAUAAGCAAUUUCUGGGGUAGAGUGGCAGUGGAAAGUGCCUUUGCAAAUGAGCCUCCAAAUUCAGGCUACUGUCAAAGAAAUGCCUUUCAUUGUACUUUGUUGAAGAAUUCUGCCUGUUUAGGUCCAAAUACUCCUACUUAAAAAAUAAUACCUCACACCUGUAAUCCCAGCACUUUGGGAGGCCAA
rnacentral:lncRNA from 10 species